rnacentral:ncRNA from 1 species
CCUUAUCAAGAGCGGCUGAGGGACCAGGCCCUGUGAAGCCCGGCAACCUGCGCGUGAGCGCAAGGUGCCAAAUCCUGCGGAAAACUCCGGAAGAUGAGG